rnacentral:rRNA from 1 species
UCGGGAAUAUUGCGCAAUGGAGGAAACUCUGACGCAGUGACGCCGCGUAUAGGAAGAAGGUUUUCGGAUUGUAAACUAUUGUCGUUAGGGAAGAUACAAGACAGUACCUAAGGAGGAAGCUCCGGCUAACUACGUGCCAGCAGCCGCGGUAAUACGUAGGGAGCAAGCGUUAUCCGGAGUUAUUGGGUGUAAAGGGUGCGUAGACGGGACAACAAGUUAGUUGUGAAAUCCCUCGGCUUAACUGAGGAACUGCAACUAAAACUAUUGUUCUUGAGUGUUGGAGAGGAAAGUGGAAUUCCUAGUGUAGCGGUGAAAUGCGUAGAUAUGAGGAGGAACACCGGUGGCGAAGGCGACUUUCUGGACAAUAACUGACGGUGAGGCACGAAAGUGUGGGGAGCAAACA